CACACCUGACCCCAUGCCGAACUCAGAAGUGAAACGCCGUAGCGCCGAUGGUAGUGUGGGGUCUCCCCAUGCGAGAGUAGGGAACUGCCAGGC
rnacentral:rRNA from 1 species